CCUACGGGGGGCAGCAGUGAGGAAUAUUGGUCAAUGGCCGGAAGGCUGAACCAGCCAUGCCGCGUGAAGGUCAGUGCCCUAUGGGCGUUAAACUUCUUUUGUGCGGGAGCAAUAAUGGUCACGUGUGGCCAGACGAGAGUACCGUACGAAUAAGCAUCGGCUAACUCCGUGCCAGCAGCCGCGGUAAUACGGGGGAUGCAAGCGUUAUCCGGAUUUAGUGGGUUUAAAGGGUGCGUAGGCUGGGAGGUAAGUCAGCGGUGAAAUGCCCCCGCGCAACGGGGUGAAGUGCCAUUGAUACUGCCUGGCUGGAAUGCGGAUGCCGUGGGAGGAAUGUGUGGUGUAGCGGUGAAAUGCAUAGAUAUCACGAAGAACUCCGAUUGCGAAGGCAGCUUACUAAACUGCCACUGACAUUGAUGCUCGAAAGUGUGGGUAUCAAACAGGAUUAGAUACCCCGGUAGUC
rnacentral:rRNA from 1 species